rnacentral:rRNA from 1 species
UUAGUUCAACUUAAAUUUACUACAAAAAUAUAUAAUUACACCGUAAUUUAACUGUUAAUCUAAAGGGGUACAGCCCUUUAGACUAAGGAUACAACCUUAAUUAGAGAGUAAAUAUACUAAUAACCAUAGUUGGCCUAAAAGCAGCCAUCAAUUAAGAAAGCGUUCAAGCUCAACAAUAAUUAAUUCCUUAAUCCAAUGAUUAUAUAUUAACUCCUAACUUACUACUGGACUAAUCUAUUAAUCAAUAGAAGAAAUACUGUUAAUAUGAGUAACAAGAUUUGUAUCUCCUAGCACAGGCUUAUAUCAAACCGAAUAAUAACUGAUAGUUAACGGCCAAAUAAAUAUAAUCCCACAUAAACUAUUUAUUAACCCACCGUUAAUCCAACACAGGUGUGCAUAAAGGAAAGAUUAAAAGAAAUAAAAGGAACUCGGCAAACACAAACCCCGCCUGUUUACCAAAAACAUCACCUCUAGCAUUACUAGUAUUAGAGGCACUGCCUGCCCAGUGACAACUGUUUAACGGCCGCGGUAUCCUGACCGUGCAAAGGUAGCAUAAUCAUUUGUUCUUUAAAUAAGGACUUGUAUGAAUGGCCACACGAGGGUUUAACUGUCUCUUAUUUCUAAUCAGUGAAAUUGACCUUUCCGUGAAGAGGCGGAAAUAAUCCAAUAAGACGAGAAGACCCUAUGGAGCUUUAAUUGACCUAACCCAACAGAAUAAUACUUAACUCCACCAAGGACUAACAAACAUUCUAACUGGGUUAUAAAUUUCGGUUGGGGUGACCUCGGAGCACAAAAAACCCUCCGAGAGCUAUCUACUAAGACUGACAAGUCAAAGUAAAUCUUUUCAAUUGAUCCAGUCCCACUGAUCAACGGAACAAGUUACCCUAGGGAUAACAGCGCAAUCCUAUUCUAGAGUCCCUAUCGACAAUAGGGUUUACGACCUCGAUGUUGGAUCAGGACAUCCCAAUGGUGCAGCAGCUAUUAAUGGUUCGUUUGUUCAACGAUUAAAGUCUACGUGAUCUGAGUCAGACGGAUAUC